CCUCUCUUCCUUAUCCUCACUUUCUUUUCUUUUAUUUUCUUAAGUUAAUAGAUAUGUUAGGAGGCAGUAGCACCCCUAUUUGGGUUGUGGUUUUGCUUAUCGAAUUGUGAAGCUAGCACCUUGAUUUGAACUCACUGUCGGCUACUAUGAAAAAGUUGUGGAUGAAGCAUUUCAAGUAAAGCUAGCAUUUUCUUUGUGGAUUUAACACUUAGCAUGUUGUUCUCUGAGUUUCCCUUGUUUCAUCUAUGUGUUAAGGCUCUAAAUUUUCUUAUCCUAAGCAUGGCAUUCGAAACAAGGCAGGGGAGUGUUAAAGGUUUCAUUGUUCUUCCAUUAUCCUAUCAUGCUGUUAAGAUCUGAAGUGGUGGUGCUCUUAACAUGCUUGUGCUUUAUUUACUACAUGCUGACAUGAAAUUUUGAUUGGGAGGAGGGUGGAGGUGUAUUACCUCUGGAAAUCGAAGGAGUGGCUGACUUGCUGCUGCUCACUACUUGCUCUACCCUCUAACUCUCUGUUUUUGCUGAAUUUUGAAGUGUGUGUGAAAGGAGUUGGUGUGUGGUGUGGAGGGGCCUUUAUAGGCCGAGCUUUGGUGUACUCUUGAGCCUUAAAUGGCUGCUGUACCAUUUGUUGCUAUGUGGCAGAAAAUCUCACCUUUAGUGAUCCUCAUGCAGCACUCUUUAACUGAGAAUUGGUGGUAUUCUAAGGACAUAAGGACUAUGCAUUCAUGCCAUUUGUUGUCUUUCUUCUCCUUUUUGCAGGGGCUUGUUGAGGGGUCAAAAGUUGCAGCUGUUCUUGCCUCUUUUGGCAAGUGUUUUGGUCUACUCUAACAAAGGAGAAAGAGACAACUUGCUGCCACCCAACUGUCCCGGGAGGUAGGCUCGCUGCCUUGGCUCACCGGCUGACCGGGUGGGGUCGCGGUGGUGUGCGGCUCGGGCUCGGAAAAGAAGAGGCCCAACGUGUAGUAAAAGAGUCGGCCUUAGUUCUUAGCCUUUUAGCCCAUACUUGUAAAUUUGUGUACUAGCAUUCUCAUUUCCUUUUUCUUAAACUCACGUGUACUUAAUUAAGUAAGCUAAAGUGUAAUUUGGAAAGUAGUUGCACUUUCUUAGCUAGAAAGUAAAUUCUUCACAUUCUUCUUCGUUAGAUGUGUAUCGAACAUAUUUUUAUUUUGCA